rnacentral:rRNA from 1 species
GACGUAGGGGGCCAGCGUUGCUCGGAAUUACUGGGUGUAAAGGGUUCGUAGGCGGUGUGGCAAGUCGGGAGUGAAAUCCCUGGGCUUAACCCAGGGGCUGCUUCCGAAACUGCUGUGCUUGAGUGUGGGAGAGGGGCGUGGAAUUGCAGGUGUAGCGGUGAAAUGCGUAGAUAUCUGCAGGAACACCCGUGGCGAAAGCGGCGCGCUUGGCCACUACUGACGCUGAGGACCUAAAGCUAGGGGAGCAAACAGU